AGUGCGAAUUACAAAAACUUGAAAUCACAUGAAUUCAACAUAAGGAAUGUUGAUUAGUGAAUUUUUAGGGGCACCUAACCAAACUCCUCCACUAGUUCGUGAGAAAAUAUUCCGAUUUAGAACCCAUAUUAGUUUUUAAUCUUAUAAAU